AAGUCGAGGGGCAGCAUGAUUGAAGCUUGCUUCAAUUGAUGGCGACCGGCGGAAGGGUGCGUAACGCGUGAGCGACAUGCCCGUUGCCCGGGGACAACCGGUGGAAACGCCGACUAAUCCCCGAUGGGACGGAGGCCCUCAUGGGUCUCUGUUGAAAGUUACGGCGGCGACGGAUUGGCUCGCGUCCGAUUAGCUGGUUGGCGGGGUAACGGCCCACCAAGGCUACGAUCGGUAGGGGUUCUGAGAGGAAGGUCCCCACAAUGGAACUGAGACACGGUCCAUACUCC
rnacentral:rRNA from 1 species